rnacentral:rRNA from 1 species
UUAGUUUGAUCCUGGCUCAGGACGAACGCUGGCGGCGUGCCUAAUACAUGCAAGUCGAACGCUUCUUUCCUCCCGANUGCUUGCACUCAAUUGGAAAGAGGAGUGGCGGACGGGUGAGUAACACGUGGGUAACCUACCCAUCAGAGGGGGAUAACACUUGGAAACAGGUGCUAAUACCGCAUAACAGUUUAUGCCGCAUGGCAUAAGAGUGAAAGGCGCUUUCGGGUGUCGCUGAUGGAUGGACCCGCGGUGCAUUAGCUAGUUGGUGAGGUAACGGCUCACCAAGGCCACGAUGCAUAGCCGACCUGAGAGGGUGAUCGGCCACACUGGGACUGAGACACGNCCCAGACUCCUACGGGAGGCAGCAGUAGGGAAUCUUCGGCAAUGGACGAAAGUCUGACCGAGCAACGCCGCGUGAGUGAAGAAGGUUUUCGGAUCGUAAAACUCUGUUGUUAGAGAAGAACAAGGACGUUAGUAACUGAACGUCCCCUGACGGUAUCUAACCAGAAAGCCACGGCUAACUACGUGCCAGCAGCCGCGGUAAUACGUAGGUGGCAAGCGUUGUCCGGAUUUAUUGGGCGUAAAGCGAGCGCAGGCGGUUUCUUAAGUCUGAUGUGAAAGCCCCCGGCUCAACCGGGGAGGGUCAUUGGAAACUGGGAGACUUGAGUGCAGAAGAGGAGAGUGGAAUUCCAUGUGUAGCGGUGAAAUGCGUAGANAUAUGGAGGAACACCCAGUGGCGAAGGCGGCUCUCUGGUCUGUAANCUGNCGUUAGGUUU